rnacentral:rRNA from 1 species
GACAGAGGGUGCAAACGUUUGUUCGGAAUUACUGGGCGUAAAGCGCGUGUAGGCUGCUUCGCAAGUCGGAUGUGAAAGCCCUGGGCUCAACCCAGGAAGUGCAUUCGAAACUGCAGAGCUGGAGUCCUGGAGAGGAAGGCGGAAUUCUCGGUGUAGAGGUGAAAUUCGUAGAUAUCAGGAGGAAUACCGGUGGUGUAGACGGCUCUCUGGACCGCGACUGACGCUGAGACACGAAAGCGUGGGUAGCAAACAGG